UCUCUCCCUCUUCCCCCGCGUCGCCCUCUUUCCUUCUUUUUCCGAUUUCUUCACCGUCCGGCGUCCGAUUGACGUGAUUCCAGUUGUCCUUGGACCGUCUCUUCCUCCUCUACACGAUGGUACCAGUGGGUAUCGGCGAUUUGGCCGGCAAACCCCGAAUUUAUGCAAGCAUGGUUACUGUAGCAGUUUGCUUCUCCGGCGAAAUUCUCCAGUUUCCGGCUAUCUUCGGCGGUGAAAUUGGCUCUAUUAGGAGCGCCUCGGGUCACUGAUCAUCUUCCCUCAAGACUUCUAGUUGGAAUUUCCACGUUUGGAAGGUGAAUUUGAAGGAUUUCCAAAUUUGUGGGUUUGGAGAUUUCCGGGUUUGUGUUCAUCGGCAAAAUUGGAGCAUUUCAAGGGCGAUAUACCGAACUAUUGCUCGAUGAAGGAACUCGUAUGCGUGAUCGCCUAAAUAGUACUUUUGCAGGCCAGUUUAGCUUGAGGUCGAGCGUACUUGGGGUUGAGGCAUAGUUGUCAUAGCUUCCGCAUUAUAAAAGCAUCGGUCAUUUAUCUUGCUUUCUAUUCUCUUGUUCGCCUGUACAUUAGAUUGCUCUGAUAACCUAUGAGAUUAAUAUUCUUAAAUUCAGAAUUGUUUAUGAAAUGAGAUAUGUGAGAUGUUGUGAUAUAGGGAGCAGGGUGGCUCCAGGAGAAUAAGGAUGGAUGAUUUAGAAGUGUGGAUGUUUUUCUACAGGUUUUGGGUUGUCCAUUUUUAGGGGAAGUUCUGGCAAAUUUUUGGUAGAAUUUCUUCUAAAGUGGGCCCCGCAGGGCCUCUUCGGAUUUCAGGGUGAAAUCCGGGGCGGGUCCUGUCAGUAAUUUUGAUCAUACCACCCAAGAUGAAGACCACGGAGUGAGAACAGCUGGCCAUGGUGCUCAAGAGAAGACCCGAUAUGGGAGGAGGACUAGAGGUGCAACUGAUGAUCAAAGUACCCCAUCUGAUGUUUCUUCAAUUGCCUUAAGUUUUGACUCAAUCAGUUUAAGCACAGAGCGCAGUGGGAUUUCAAAUGAAUCUCAUAAAGGCAACAAUCAAUUUGGUUAUGAUGCUUAUGGAUAUAAUCAAUAUGGAGAAGUAUAUGAUCAGUCAUCUAGUUGGGUUCAUCCUUAUUAUCCCCUUAUAGGAGAAACAGUCGGCAGCUCUAAAGAGAUCUAUAACUAUCAUGUUCAUCACUACAAUUUGCACUAUAUGUGUCAUAUGUCUUGGUCUGAUUAUUGCA